CCUACGGGAGGCAGCAGUGGGGGAUAUUGCACAAUGGGGGGAACCCUGAUGCAGCGACGCCGCGUGGGUGAAGGAGUGCUUCGGCAUGUAAAGCCCUAUCGGCAGGGAAGAAGCAAGACGGUACCUGACUAAGAAGCCCCGGCUAACUACGUGCCAGCAGCCGCGGUAAUACGUAGGGGGCGAACGUUAUCCGGAUUUACUGGGUGUAAAUGGGGCGGAGACGGCCAUGCAAGCCAGGGGGGAAAGCCCGGGGCCUAACCCGGGGACUGCCCUUGGAACUGGAUGGCUUGAGUGCGGGAGAGGCAGGCGGAAUUCGUGGUGUAGCGGUGAAAUGCGUAGAUAUCAGGAGGAACACCGACGGCGAAGGCAGCCUGCUGGACCGCGACUGACGUUGAGGCUCGAAGGCGUGGGGAGCGAACAGGAUUAGAUACCCGGGUAGUC
rnacentral:rRNA from 1 species